CCCGCGUCUUAGAAGAGGCAAGUCGUAACAUGGUGAGUGUACUGGAAAGUGCACUUGGAUUACA
rnacentral:rRNA from 1 species